rnacentral:lncRNA from 1 species
GCUCCCAACAAAACAGUUCCAUCUUUGGCUAGGCCUUUGGUAUUUCAAGGCGCUGCCAGGGGGAGAGAUGCCGCGUGCCUGAGAGGCUCUGGGAGCCUAGUUUAUCUCCCGGGAGAUGACUUUAUUUCUAAACGUAUAGGGGUUUCUUAGAGGAGCUUCAGAAUACUAAUCAUCGCUGGUGAGGGCACUUGAACACUGUGCU